rnacentral:rRNA from 1 species
CGGAACGGGUGGGUAACGCGUGAGGAACCUGCCUCAAAGAGGGGGACAACAGUUGGAAACGACUGCUAAUACCGCAUAAGCCCACGGCUCGGCAUCGAGCAGAGGGAAAAGGAGUGAUCCGCUUUGAGAUGGCCUCGCGUCCGAUUAGCUGGUUGGUGAGGUAACGGCCCACCAAGGCGACGAUCGGUAGCCGGACUGAGAGGUUGAACGGCCACAUUGGGACUGAGACACGGCCCAG